CAAUAAGGGUGUGGAAUUCUCUGCCUGAAGAAGUGUUUUUUUCACAGUCCAUACAGAUGUUCAAACAGCUACUAGAUGCAUACUUGCAAAAACAGAAUAUUCAAGGAUAUAAUCUUUCAAUGUAGGUUAAUAACUGCUCGAUCCAAGGAUAAAUCUGACUGCCUUUCUUGGGUCAAGAAGGAAUUUUUUUCCUAGUUUGUUG
rnacentral:lncRNA from 1 species